rnacentral:tRNA from 2 species
GGAGGAAUACCCAAGUCCGGCUGAAGGGAGCGGUCUCGAAAACCGCCAGGAGUCUUUACGGGCUCGCGGGGGUUCGAAUCCCUCUUCCUCCG